UUUCUUUCUUUUCUUUCUUUUUGAGCAAUUAUCCUAUUGUCUAGUUUUAACAUGAAUAACAUAGGAUAUCUUGUAUAUUAAAAAAUUACUGAAUAUAAAAAAUUGAUACACAAAAUAAACACUGUCAUCGGCAAAUGCUGUAAUAUCAUGAAAAAAAAUGGAGUUUUAAAGCUUGCGCAUUAUAUAAAUUGUGCCUUGAAGUGCCGAGGAAGAGAUAAACAAGAACCGGAAAGAAUGCCAUAUAAAUACCAAUGAUCGGUGGGACGUUGCCCAAUAUUGCAUACGCCAUCCCUGUAAUAUAAUUAAAAUCUUUAUAAUACGAAUUUUAAUGUUUUAAUUCUUUUGAGAAUUAAUUAUUUAUUUAAAAUGAAGUGGAAAUAUUUAAAAAGCAGUGUUAUAUAAGUGCAUAAACAUUCGUGUUCUACUGAUGAAUCAAACCUUUUACAAACCUAUUUACCUUGAGGAAUAUGCAUCACCGCCACAGUAAUUCCAGCAACAAUAUCACCUAAUAUAUCGUUCUUCCAAUUGUACGUUGACAACCAGUCAAUAAGAGACAAGACGCAAAGAUUUUAUUGUUUGGAUAAUAUGGAUAAUUAUGGAUAAUAUAUCUAAUACAAACAAGUUAUUAUUAUUGCGGUUUUGUUAUUAUUAUAUGUUAGAUUUACUCAGUCGGAAAUCACUAUAAUCAAAGCAAUUAUAGAA